CGGCUCAUAUAAAUGAGCAUAACUUCGUGGAAGUCAAUGGGGCGAACUCCGAUCUACACGAGCUGAGAAUCUGGCUCUUUGCCUCCAAUCUACAGUAAAAGCGGUGUUACCCGGCACUUUAUCAACGGGAAAGCUCUAUUAGCCGGCAUUUCUGAUCUCUCCCAAUACAAAUCUUCAAUCUAGUAACCGGGACGAGUAUACUGCCCAGCACGUUAUGCAAUUGCACAUCCCGCACUCUACUUCUAUGCAAAAGAGGCAGAAGACAUGUAAGCAAGCUGAUAUCAGAGAUUUAUUUAAAAAAAGCAGCUUCCAGGGUGUGUCAGGGUCAUUACAGAUUCAGCCCAAUCUCCUCCACCUUCUCCAUCUACAAUGAUAACGGAGGUUGAUAAUGAUGACGCUGCGGCACUGCAAGAUCCUGAAGUGCCUUCUGAAUCAUCAAAGAAAGAUUACAUUAUGGUCAGUCUAGUUUUAGUGUUAAGUGUAUUUUUAGUGAUCUGGGUGUAUGCCAGGCGCUGCCCCUAGCGAUAUAUAGCGUCAUCAGAUAACCUACUGUAUAGAAAACGUUACCUGUCUACACCUCCAAGAAACCAACCCCUCGGCAGUGCAGGACUACUACGGGACUGGGGAGUACCUGUCUACUAUCUCCUACUUGAUUAAUUUUAUUGUAUUCUAAUUCUUUGAAAAUUGGUAUUCCACUGGUAAGUAGAACUCUUAGUUAACUGGAAUAUUUGAUUAACCAGCACCCCCCGUUCCCCCAACAUGCCGGAUACCAAAGCUUUUACUGUAUUUAAGAAAGGCCUAGCGUGCCUGUGUACAUUUCUGACCUGUCUCUCAAUGUGCCUAAUGACCUGGGGACUGUUUCAAACAUGCCUGCAGAUAGCAUGUCUCUCAUCAACAGGACCUUUCUCGUCUCAUCAGCUUAUGGAAGAUGUGGGUUUUGCUCUUGUAGAUGUUCAGUAACCUGUUCCUCCCGGUGCCUGAGUGAGAGCAACUCAAACACAUUUAUUCUAAAGCCUUUUAUUUAUCAUUUUAAAGAGAGAUUCUUUCUUAAUCAACAGCAACAUGAAUUUCUCGGCGGUAUUGUUAUCCCUGCGCUACCGAGGGGCUUAGAGAGGNUGAAUCACUGCUUCUCUCACGUGGCCUUGAAGGAUAAAGGCAAUGAAAUCCACAGCAGCUAUUCACCAAAGGAGAGCAGGGGGAGGGAAGGAAUUCAAGGUCUUUGCAUUAUCCAGUGAUGGAUGGCAGUACCUUUCCAACGCCCUCCUCCCCAGUUCCCAGCUGCAAUGAACACUUCACACUCUGGGCUUCUCCCCUGCGGGCCUUGAGCCUUCAGGAGGAGGAGAUGGGAGGGGGUGGAGUUCAGGAAACUAGGCUCUGAACCUAACCUUCCUCCAUGUCACAUUUUGGAUUCUUCAUCCAUCAAAUGAGAGGCCACACGAAGCACUCCUCUCUCUUUUGGAUCUAUGUCCAAUCGAGUCACACUCAUGAGUGAGCAGAUGGUGCAGCUGGGCCGUGACACAUAUAAUUGGCUAACAGCAACAGCCAUAUUAGUUGGAGGUUUCCACCCCAGAGACAUCCUAGAAAGAUUCCCUAACUGCCUGCUAACACACCCUGUCCUCACCACAACUUUCCUCUCUCACAAAAUUCUGCACCCCCCCCAAACACCUUCCUUCCCCAAAUCCACCCUAGUCUUCUGUACCACACACACACACAAACUCCAUGCCUCCCAAAUACCCAAACGCAGCCUUUCCCAGGGACAUGCAUUCAAAGCACUUACACCCACUGUUCCACUAGGGACAGAGUAAGUGGUAACUAAACUGGACCAAAGUGAGUCUUGCAGUGACUCAUUGCCUUCCCAUGAGUUCACUGGCAUUGCACCAGAGAAGCAGGGGAUCUGAUGUGAUGCCUUGUCCCCGCCAAGAUUUCUCUGCUAAUAGAGAAAUGA
rnacentral:lncRNA from 1 species